rnacentral:lncRNA from 1 species
CAAAUAAAUGAAUAAAUGAGGGGAAGAGACUGCUUUUUGCUUGCCAUAGUAAAUGUGAGCAGCUCCUCAACGAUGCUGUUUUCGCUCCAGUAUUCGUGCGGGAACGGAAGACUCCGGGCCAUGGACUGCGCGGUAUGGAGGAUGGAUGGAACGAGUCUCCAGCUCCUCCGGGCCUCCCAGCAAAGCCCACGUCAGCCUCUCCAUCGACUCACUUCUGGCAGCAAGUAACAAGCGUUCAGUCCAAGGUCCCGGGUCCAAGUGGACAUCGAUGCUGGUUUAGUGAGCACGACAAUUUUCCACACACUUUGCCGCAUUUAGAUGCUGCUGAAGACGACAAGAGGCACUUACCGCUGCAGGCCACAGUAACCUGGAGCUCAGCACCUCUGCAAUGAACGCACUGAGAGAAAAGCUGGAAAGAAAGGGAUUGCUGGGUAAAGACAGAAGCCAAGGACACCGGUAGGACCCACUGCUACCUGCAACCUCAGCACCAGUAUGGUCAUGUGUUCAAAUCGGUGAGUCACGCAUAACUCGAAAAACCCCGGGUGUCUUGACAUCAACAUCUGGCACAUGUGCUAGUCAUCUGCCUGUGGUUUGCUUUUCAUACAGUCCAAUGUAGAUCAUAAA